AGCCUGACGCUUGACGACUCUAAAAUGAAAAAGCGCAGUCUUUCCUGAAAAGGCGACACCCUCUGUUUGCUGGAAUUUCCAAAUCGGAUACCAGCAGCCAUCGGACAGCGAUGGUUCACAGAUCAAAUUAGGGUGGUCUGUCGUUGAAGUGAUUCUUCAACGAUGGAUAAAGAUAUGACCGGUCCGAUCUUUGACCAGAUCAGGAACCCACGUUCCGUAGGUGAACCUGCGGAAGGAUCAUUACUGAGAUAGGGUCCUCGUGGCCCGACCUCCAACCCUUUGUUUAAUUUACCCUUGUUGCUUUGGCAGGCCCGUCUUUCGGGACCGCCGGAGGUGAUUCUUCACUUCUGGUCAGUGCUUGCCAUUAGCCAAUUGAAAUUCUCUUUAAAUAAUGCAGUCUGAAUCUUUAAUUAAAUCAAUUAAAACUUUCAACAACGGAUCUCUUGGUUCUGGCAUCGAUGAAGAACGCAGCGAAAUGCGAUAAGUAAUGUGAAUUGCAGAAUUCAGUGAAUCAUCGAAUCUUUGAACGCACAUUGCGCCCUUUGGUAUUCCGAAGGGCAUGCCUGUUCGAGCGUCAUUAUCCACCCUCAAGCCUGGCUUGUUAAUGGGUCUUAUCGGUCAAAUGAUAGACCUCAAAGAUAAUGGCGGCGUCAUGAUAGACCCCAGGUGCAGCGAGCUUUAAGCAUACACUGAGGUGGUCGUUAUGUCCCGGCCUUUCUUUUUUAUCUGCUUGAAAAAGCAGGUAAGAUUUUUUUUCAAAGGUUGACCUCGGAUCAGGUAGGAAUACCCGCUGAACUUAAGCAUAUCAAUAAGCGGAGGAAAAGAAACCAACAGGGAUUGCCUCAGUAACGGCGAGUGAAGCGGCAAUAGCUCAAAUUUGAAAUCUGGCAUCAGCCCGAGUUGUAAUUUGUAGAGGAUGUUUCGGUCAAGGCUUCGGUUUAAAUUUCUUGGAACAGAAUGUCAUAGAGGGUGAGAAUCCCGUCUAGAACCGUCUGCCGCGUCCAUGUGAAACUCCUUCGACGAGUCGAGUUGUUUGGGAAUGCAGCUCUAAAUGGGAGGUAAAUUUCUUCUAAAGCUAAAUAUUGGCCAGAGACCGAUAGCGCACAAGUAGAGUGAUCGAAAGAUGAAAAGCACUUUGAAAAGAGAGUUAAACAGUAUGUGAAAUUGUUGAAAGGGAAGCGUUUGCAACCAGACUUGUGUGUAAUGGUUCAACCACCGUUCUCGGUGGCCCAUUCCAUUAUAUCCAGGCCAGCAUCGGUUUGGGUGGUUAGUUAAAGGCCUUGGGAAUGUAUCAACCUCCGGGUUGACUUAUAGCCCUCGGUGUCAUGUAACCUAUCUAGACCGAGGUACGCG
rnacentral:rRNA from 1 species